CCCUCCUCGCCCUGUCUAAUGGUGCGGCCCGGAGUGCGCCGCCCAAAGGCCUCCGGCCGGGAAGCGCCACCGCCUGUGUUCGACUCGGCUGGGGAAGAGGCUGCAGGGCCCUUGGCUCCAUGGCGUUGCCAGGUGGAAAUAAGGAUAAUAUCAGGGCAGGAUGCAAGAAGUGUGGCUAUCCUGGUCAUCUGACAUUUGAAUGCAGAAACUUUCUCCGGGUGGACCCCAAAAGAGACAUUGUUUUAGACGUUAGCAGUACGAGCAGUGAAGACAGCGAGGAAGAGGAGCUGGGGAAACUGCAGGCCUUACCAGAGAAAAAGAUUCCUGCUGCUUGUUCCACUAAACCUCAAAAGUCAUUUUGACAGAAAAGAAUGAUGGUCACACAUGAUUUUAAUUGGAUGGACAAAUUCAGCAUUAAAAGAUACAAGUCAGGAGGAGGAAAAGAAGAAUCUAAAAAGAAUAAGCAAAGAAAAAUCCAA